CCGGGGUGAGGUAGUAGGUUGUAUAGUUAUGAACUACAUCAUUUUUGGGAGAACUGUACAACUUGCUAACUUUCCUUG
rfam:Zootermopsis nevadensis contig11912, whole genome shotgun sequence.